rnacentral:rRNA from 1 species
UACGAAGGGGGCUAGCGUUGUUCGGAAUUACUGGGCGUAAAGGGCGCGUAGGCGGUCCUGAUCGUCGGAUGUGAAAGGCCUGGGCUCAACCUGGGAACUGCAUCCGAUACGGCGGGACUGGAGCGUGGGAGAGGUUGGUGGAAUUCCCAGUGUAGAGGUGAAAUGCGCAGAUAUCAGGAGGAACACCGGUGGCGAAGGCGGGUCUCUGGGCAGUAACUGACGCUGAGGAGCGAAAGCGUGGGGAGCGAACAGG